rnacentral:rRNA from 1 species
GAUGAACGCUGGCGGCGUGCCUAAUACAUGCAAGUCGAGCGAACAGACGAGGAGCUUGCUCCUCUGACGUUAGCGGCGGACGGGUGAGUAACACGUGGAUAACCUACCUAUAAGACUGGGAUAACUUCGGGAAACCGGAGCUAAUACCGGAUAAUAUAUUGAACCGCAUGGUUCAAUAGUGAAAGACGGUUUUGCUGUCACUUAUAGAUGGAUCCGGGCGGCAUUAGCUAGUUGGUAAGGUAACGGCUUACCAAGGCAACGAUGCGUAGCCGACCUGAGAGAGUGAUCGGCCACACUGGAACUGAGACACGGUCCAGACUCCUACGGGAGGCAGCAGUAGGGAAUCUGCCGCAAUGGGCGAAAGCUUGACGGAGCAACGCCGCGUGAGUGAUGAAGGUCUUCGGAUCGUAAAACUCUGUUAUUAGGGAAGAACAAAUGUGUAAGUAACUAUGCACGUCUUGACGGUACCUAAUCAGAAAGCAACGGCUAACUACGUG